rnacentral:tRNA from 1 species
GGUGGCUCAGUGGUAGAGUGCUUGCCUCGAAUGCAAUGAGACCCUAGGUUCAAUUCCUCAGCACCA